CAAACAAAAAGAGGAAUUUUGAAAUGUCAAAACAAGACUUAUAUCAUUGUAGAUGUGCCUUAGUUCCUUAUGCUGCCUUGAAAUGUCACAACACAAAUGCACACAGGCAGACAGACAGACAGACAGACAGACACAACUAAAACAUACAUGUAAACAUACAGGUAGACAGACACAACUAAAACAUACAGGUAGACAGACAAGUACGUUAGAGAAACAGACAGUUUAGUUGAUGGUGACACACAGGUAAACACAGGUAAACACAGGUAAACAGGUAAACAGGUAAACACAUAUAGACAGGUGUCCACACACUCAGAGACCUUCUGGUGCCUCCUCUCCUGCUCGUAUCUGUCGCUCCUCUCCUGCCUCAGUCUGUCCAGCUCGCCCCGCAGCUCCUCG